rnacentral:rRNA from 1 species
UCGGGAAUUUUGGGCAAUGGGCGAAAGCCUGACCCAGCAACGCCGCGUGAAGGAUGAAGUAUUUCGGUAUGUAAACUUCGAAAGAAUAGGGAAGAAUAAAUGACGGUACUAUUUAUAAGGUCCGGCUAACUACGUGCCAGCAGCCGCGGUAAUACGUAGGGACCAAGCGUUGUUCGGAUUUACUGGGCGUAAAGGGCGCGUAGGCGGCAAUUCAAGUCAUCUGUGAAAUCUCCGGGCUUAACUCGGAACUGCCAAGUGAUACUGAUGUGCUAGAGUGCAGAAAGGGCAACUGGAAUUCUUGGUGUAGCGGUGAAAUGCGUAGAUAUCAAGAGGAACACCUGAGGCGAAGGCGGGUUGCUAGGCUGAUACUGACGCUGAGGCGCGAAAGCUAGGGUAGCAAACGGGAUUAGAUACCCUGGUAGUCCCUGAGCGGGCUGGCAAGGCGC